rnacentral:rRNA from 1 species
AUUGAACGCUGGCGGAAUGCUUUACUCAUGCAAGUCGAACGGCAGCACGGGGGCAACCCUGGUGGCGAGUGGCGAACGGGUGAGUAAUACAUCGGAACGUGCCCAGUCGUGGGGGAUAACUACGCGAAAGCGUAGCUAAUACCGCAUACGAACUCUGGUUGAAAGCGGGGGAUCGCAAGACCUCGCGCGAUUGGAGCGGCCGAUGGCAGAUUAGGUAGUUGGUGGGGUAAAGGCUCACCAAGCCGACGAUCUGUAGCUGGUCUGAGAGGACGACCAGCCACACUGUGACUGAGACACGGCCCGGACUCCUACGGGAGGCAGCAGUGGGGAAUUUUGGACAAUGGGCGCAAGCCUGAUCCAGUCAUUCCGCGUGCAGGAUGAAGGCCCUCGGGUUGUAAACUGCUUUUGUACGGAACGAAACGCGCCGGGUUAAUACCUCGGCGUAAUGACGGUACCGUAAGAAUAAGCACCGGCUAACUACGUGCCAGCAGCCGCCGUAAAAC